rnacentral:tRNA from 1 species
GGCCCUUUAGCUCAGUGGUUAGAGCAGGCGACUCAUAAUCGCUUGGUCGCCUGGUUCAAGUCCAGCAAGGGCCACCA